CCUACGGGAGGCAGCAGUGGGGAAUAUUGCACAAUGGGGGAAACCCUGAUGCAGCAACGCCGCGUGAAGGAAGACGGUUUUCGGAUUGUAAACUUCUGUUCUUAGUGAAGAAUAAUGACGGUAGCUAAGGAGCAAGCCACGGCUAACUACGUGCCAGCAGCCGCGGUCAUACGUAGGAUCCGAGCAUUAUCCGGAGUGACUGGGUGUAAAGAGUUGCGUAGGUGGCAUAAUAAGUAGCUAGUGAAAUCUGGUGGCUCAACCAUUCAGACUAUUAGCUAAACUGUUAAGCUCGAGACCGUUAGGGGUAACUGGAAUUUCUAGUGUAGGAGUGAAAUCCGUAGAUAUUAGAAGGAACACCAAUAGCGUAGGCAGGUUGCUGGGACGGUUCUGACACUAAGGCACGAAAGCGUAGGGAGCAAACGGGAUUAGAUACCCGAGUAGUC
rnacentral:rRNA from 1 species